rnacentral:lncRNA from 1 species
CUCAACGACGCCAUUUUGUAAAAUUUAUUAGACUGGUCCCGCGGAGUUACUUUAAUACAACGGAAAUAAUUCUUUCAAAAAUCGUUAACCAGUCAAUCACGUGAUCCGAAAAGAAAAAUAAGCGGGAAAUUUUAAAAAAAUACGAAAAAAAAUAUAGCGACGCGGUUGAACGGGAUAGCGACGCGGUCAGUGCAAUAGGACAGCGGGAAAUUGAAAUAGCGCUGAAAAUCGCGGCGCUAAAACGGCCUGGGGAGAACACUGUAUUUUUUUUUAAAUAAGA